rfam:Nicotiana sylvestris Nsyl_contig94055, whole genome shotgun sequence.
AAGUGUUCAAUAGGGGCAACCUGAGAUCAUAUGUACGACGGUUUUUUUAUUUUAAUAAUUUUUGUAAUUGUGAUACAUAUGUUCUCAGGUCGCCCCUGUUGAACUAUU